UUUGAUGGCGACCGGCGCACGGGUGAGUAACACGUAUCCAACCUGCUGAUGACUCGGGGAUAGCCUUUCGAAAGAAAGAUUAAUACCCGAUGGCAUAGUUCUUCCGCAUGGUAGAACUAUUAAAGAAUUUCGGUCAUCGAUGGGGAUGCGUUCCAUUAGGUUGUUGGCGGGGUAACGGCCCACCAAGCCUUCGAUGGAUAGGGGUUCUGAGAGGAAGGUCCCCCACAUUGGAACUGAGACACGGUCCAAACUCCUACGGGAGGCAGCAUG
rnacentral:rRNA from 1 species